GGGUCCAUCCAGUGGUAACACUGGUGAAGACCUAGCGGCGAACGGGUGAGUAACACGUGAGAAACCUGCCCCGAAGACCGGGAUAACCCUCCGAAAGGAGAGCUAAUACCGGAUGCCCUCACCGGGCCGCAUGACCUGGUGAGGAAAUGGAUUCCGCUUCGGGAGGGUCUCGCGGCCUAUCAGCUUGUUGGUGAGGUAACGGCUCACCAAGGCUUCGACGGGUAGCUGGUCUGAGAGGAUGAUCAGCCACACUGGGACUGAGACACGGCCCAGACUCCUACGGGAGGCAGCAGUGGGGAAUCUUGCGCAAUGGGCGAAAGCCUGACGCAGCAACGCCGCGUGGGGGAUGAAGGCUCUCGGGUUGUAAACCCCUUUCAGCAGGGAAGAUUAUGACGGUACCUGCAGAAGAAGCCCCGGCCAACUACGUGCCAGCAGCCGCGGUAAUACGUAGGGGGCAAGCGUUGUCCGGAUUUAUUGGGCGUAAAGAGCUUGUAGGCGGCUUGGUAAGUCGAGUGUGAAAACUCCAGGCUCAACCUGGAGACGCCAUUCGAUACUGCCAUGGCUAGAGUCCGGUAGAGGAGCACGGAAUUCCUGGUGUAGCGGUGAAAUGCGCAGAUAUCAGGAGGAACACCAGCAGCGAAGGCGGUGCUCUGGGCCGGUACUGACGCUGAGAAGCGAAAGCGUGGGGAGCGAACAGGAUUAGAUACCCUGGUAGUCCACGCCGUAAACGUUGGGCACUAGGUGUGGGUCCCUAUCGACGGGAUCUGUGCCGUAGCUAACGCAUUAAGUGCCCCGCCUG
rnacentral:rRNA from 1 species